AACUGCUGCUGCUUAUUAAGAGGAUUUCUUCUUAUCUUGGAUGCUGUCUGAAAGAGCUACCUGCUGAGUUGAACACAGCCCCUCCACUGGACUGAGAUCUCAAAGAACCAGUCCCUGUUUCUGCAGCUCAGUGAAGGAUUCUCUUCCAUGCGCUGAGGAGAGCUCAGCUCCUCCACUGGAUUGCAGAAACAGGAACGAGUUUCCAAAGAUCCAAGCAGUACUUCUUCAGCCUGGCAGAGAUCUUGCAUCAGCAGCCUCUACAGAUAUAUCAAAUCAACCCUAAAGCUAUUCAACCGCAUUUUGUAUGAUGCUGAAGCAGCUAAAUAAUUGACCAUGUUACUGGUCGAUCUUUCUCUCCGUCGGCACUGAGGAGCUGCCUCGGACCGCGGAAGGAGCUGCCUCCUCCCCCCACAAUCAACGAGAGUCCUCCUCAUCAGUAGUCACCCCUCCAGGGUGACUUUUCGACCUGAUUAAGGGUCUACCGGCAGAGGAAAAGCAGGUAACAAAGAGAGAGAGCCUCUUCAUGUGCUUACAGCCACUGCAACCCAAACCGGAAGUCGCAGAAGUUACUUAUUGAUCCAGCUAUAUCUUAACAGUCCCCCCUCCCUUUCUAGUUUUUUUGUUGCAGUAAUUUUGCUUAGGAUUUUAGAUAGCUUGAUGAAGUUGUUUGUUUAUCCUGGAUGGUUUUAUUCUUAGUCUCAAUUACUAUUUAUUAGUUCUAUGGCUACCUGAAACAAGAAAAACUUUAGAGGCUAGGGGUAUGUCAUGUAGAACUGAGCUGAGUCAAUUGGGUCUUCAGAAACAACUGCUAUCUGAUGGCAAUUUCAAAGGACACAAUUGUUCUGGACAAAAUCUUAUGGAAGGAAGCGAUACUCUGGAAUGAGAAUAAUAGAUGUGACUCAAUGGACUUUUCACAGCUUCACUCCAAUUUCUUUACCUUUUGCAUUUUUAUUAGCCAUGCAUUUCAGUCCAAUGUAAUUGCUGCAUCUAUUUUCCAAUAAGCAAUAGUAUUUUCUCCAUUAUCAAUUGUGCAUGGUUUUAUGUUUAUGAAACCAUUUUCUAGGCUUUUAAUAUAUCUCUUCCUAUAAAUCAUCCUCAGAAUAAUUGCUUUAAUUCUUUACGGUGGGAACAAAUGAUUGGGAGGGAAGGGAUAGAUUUAAAAGCGUGAUAGCGUACCUGGUGUGUCAUCUUGUAAGCUUCAAAAUCCUGCUGCGGUUUUACUCCUGCAGAGAAUAUAAGAUGUUUCUACUAUCAAAUUCUAAGAGUAAUUUAAACUGACAAAGAAAAGUAUCUGCAUAUCAUACAUCCAUAACUGUAUUGCAAACUGAUCAUAGAAAAUGUAAACAAGAAGAGAAGAUUGGAGGAAAGAGAUCUUCUCAAAAUGGCUGACAUUAAUAAAUUGCAGAAUUUACCAUGAUUUCUCUUAAAAUAUCAUUGCUUGCA